rnacentral:tRNA from 1 species
GCUGAAUUAGCUCAGUUGGUAGAGCAGUUGCCUUGUAAGCAUCAGGUCGUGGAUUCGAAUUCUGCAUUCAGCA